CUAUGCUAAGGUAGCAUAAUAAUUUGCUUUAUAAUUAAAAGAUAGAACGAAAGGUUAUUCUAAAUCAGAUUAUUAAAACUUUCAAUUAAAAUUAUUCUGUUAGUGAAAAAACUAGCAUAAAUUUUUUAGACGAUAAGACCCUAUGAAGCUUUACUAGAAAAUCUAGUUUUUUUGGGGCAAAAAAUAAUGAAAAUAUUUCUUUUUAGCUAAAUUUUGAUCUUACUGAAUUUUUAGAAAAAGCUACUCUAGGGAUAACAGCAUAAUUUUUAUAAAAGUUCUUAUUAAAAUAAAAGUUUGUGACCUCGAUGUUGA
rnacentral:rRNA from 1 species